rnacentral:rRNA from 1 species
AAAGGUAAGCUACUAAGAGCGAAUGGUGGAUGCCUUGACUGGUAAAGGCGAUGAAGGACGUACUAGACUGCGAUAAGCUACGGGGAGCUGUCAAGAAGCUUUGAUCCGUAGAUUUCCGAAUGGGGCAACCCAAUGUAUAGAGAUAUACAUUACCUAUAUAGGAGCGAACGAGGGGAAUUGAAACAUCUUAGUACUCUCAGGAAAAGAAAUCAAUAGAGAUUGCGUCAGUAGCGGCGAGCGAAAGCGCAAGAGGGCAAACCCAGUGCUUGCACUGGGGGUUGUAGGACUGCAAUGUGCAAGAGCUGAGUUUAGCAGAACAUUCUGGAAAGUAUAGCCAUAGAGGGUGAUAGUCCCGUAUGCGAAAAACAAAGCUUAGCUAGCAGUAUCCUGAGUAGGGCGGGACACGAGGAAUCCUGUCUGAAUCCGGGUCGACCACGAUCCAACCCUAAAUACUAAUACCAGAUCGAUAGUGCACAAGUACCGUGAGGGAAAGGUGAAAAGAACUGAGGUGAUCAGAGUGAAAUAGAACCUGAAACCAUUUGCUUACAAUCAUUCAGAGCCCUAUGUAGCAAUACAG